AGAAACAGUAACAGUUACUACCGAAGAGAGUGAGCGCGAUGUUAAGCGACAGUGGGAUCUUAAGACAAUUGAAGCUGUAACCGUGUCGUCCGUCCGUCGCGGGUUAGAUGGUGAGCAUGUGAGCAAAUGUACCAGCGUCGCAAACCGUCUGCGUAAGGCAAAUCAGACUCGGAUGUCUGAUGUGUUUCAGCUGUCUCGCUUUUAUACUGUAGACUCUUCACCCUCAUGCAGCUCUACGGUUUUGGAAAUCACCCGUUGGAAUUAGGAUGAUUUACACAGGCCAUAUGCGGGUGUCUUGUGCGUCCUGACGCACCGAGAGGAUCACUCGUGUCUAGUUUCCGUCUUUGUCGGCAGGCAGCGCACACUCUCAUCAGGACCAUUCACACGUCCAGCGCUCAAACCACAACUUCAGAGAAUUGGCCACCGAUGAAGACAUCAUCCAUCAUCCCACUGACGCUCUGCCAGAACACUUGGAGAUAAAUAUGGAGGCUUUUCAAGUUGUACCUGUCUUUGAGAAACCACACAAUCAUAAACCCACAUAGAGUGGGGUCCAAGCCAAGGGAAAAGAGAUUACAUCA
ensembl:lncRNA